UCGGGAAUCUUGGACAAUGGGGGAAACCCUGAUCCAGCCAUGCCGCGUGAGUGAUGAAGGCCUUCGGGUUGUAAAACUCUUUCGGCGGGGACGAUAAUGACGGUACCCGCAGAAGAAGCUCCGGCUAACUUCGAGCCAGCAGCCGCGGUAAUACGAAGGGGGCUAGCGUUGUUCGGAAUUACUGGGCGUAAAGCGCGCGCAGGCGGCUAUCCAAGUCAGUGGUGAAAGCCCGGAGCUCAACUCCGGAACUGCCAUUGAAACUGUUUAGCUUGAGGACGAGAGAGGUUAGUGGAAUUCCCAGUGUAGAGGUGAAAUUCGUAGAUAUUGGGAAGAACACCGGUGGCGAAGGCGGCUCGCUGGCUCGUUUCUGACGCUCAGGCGCGAUAGCGUGGGGAUCAAACA
rnacentral:rRNA from 1 species